GAUGAACGCUGGCGGCGUGCCUAACACAUGCAAGUCGAGCGAAAAGACGAGGAGCUUGUUCCUUUCUCGUUAGCGGAGGACGGGAGAGUAACGCGUGGAUCAUCCCCUUAUCUGUCUGGGAUAAUCACGGGAAACCGGAGAUAAUACCAGAGAAUAUAUUGAACCGUAUGGUGCAUUAGAGAAUUACGGCUUUGGUGGAUGUACUAGCUGGUUACGCGCUGGUUUAGCUGGUUGGUAAGGUCACGGCUUACCAAGGCAACUAUGCGUAGCCGAGCUGAGAGAGGGAUAGGCCACAUGGGAACGGAGACACGGUCCAGACGCCUACGGGAGGGAGCAGUAGGGAAUCGUCCGCAAUGGGCGAAAGCCUGACGCAGCGAGGCCGCGUGAGUGAUGAAGGUCUUCGGAGCGUAAAGCUCUGUUAUUGGGUAAGAACAGAUGUGGAAUUAGAUAAAGACGUCUUGACGGUACCGAAUCAAAAAGCCACGGCUAACUACGUG
rnacentral:rRNA from 1 species